GCUGGGCAUGGUGGUGCAUGACUGUAAUCCCAGCAGCUUGGGAGGCUGAGGCAGGAGGAUCAAGAAUUCAAAGCCAGCCUCAGCAACUGGGUGGCACUAAGCAACUCAGUGAGACCCUGUCUUUA
rnacentral:sRNA from 1 species